rnacentral:rRNA from 1 species
AUCGAACGCUGGCGGCAGGCCUAACACAUGCAAGUCGAACGAGUGGCGGACGGGUGAGUAACGUCUGGGAAACUGCCCGUUGGAGGGGGAUAACUACUGGAAACGGUAGCUAAUACCGCAUACCAUCGGAUGUGCCCAGAUGGGAUUAGCUAGUGGGUGGGGUAACGGCUCACCUAGGCGACGACCCCUAGCUGGUCUGAGAGGAUGACCAGCCACACGGGAACGGAGACACGGUCCAGACUCCUACGGGGGGCAGCAGUGGGAAAUAUUGCACAAUGGGCGAAAGCCGGAUGCAGCCAGGCCGCGUGUAUGAGGAGGGCCUUCGGGUUGUAAAGUACUUUCAGCGAGGAGGCGUUACUCGCAGAAAAAGCACCGGCUAACUCCGUGCCAGCAGCCGCGGUAAUUC